rnacentral:rRNA from 1 species
CUAAAAACCAUAUUUUUUUUAAGACCUCAAAUCAGGUGGGACUACCCGCUGAACUUAAGCAUAUC